rnacentral:rRNA from 1 species
CCUACGGGGGGCUGCAGUGGGGAAUAUUGGACAAUGGGCGAAAGCCUGAUCCAGCCAUGCCGCGUGUGUGAAGAAGGCCUUCGGGUUGUAAAGCACUUUCAGUGGGGAAGAAAGCCUUGGGGCUAAUACCCUCGAGGAAGGACAUCACCCACAGAAGAAGCACCGGCUAACUCCGUGCCAGCAGCCGCGGUAAUACGGAGGGUGCGAGCGUUAAUCGGAAUUACUGGGCGUAAAGCGCGCGUAGGCGGUCUGAUAAGCCGGUUGUGAAAGCCCCGGGCUCAACCUGGGAACGGCAUCCGGAACUGGCAGGCUAGAGUGCAGGAGAGGAAGGUAGAAUUCCCGGUGUAGCGGUGAAAUGCGUAGAGAUCGGGAGGAAUACCAGUGGCGAGGGCGGCCUUCUGGACUGACACUGACGCUGAGGUGCGAAAGCGUGGGUAGCAAACAGGAUUAGAUACCCGAGUAGUC